CCUGACGCGUCCUCUCCCUGAUGUCACCCGGCGGCGCCGCGGAGCUGGCUGCUGUCACCUGCUGAGUGGUCAGCGUUCUCGAGUCCGUGCGAGUGCGGUUAGAAAACUUGUCCGGUUUAGCAGAACAAACCUACUCUGCUGGGACUCAAGAGUGGACAAGGAGGAUGGAAGUAACAUCUGUAUACAUCUGCUCCGUGUAAAAUGCCAACC
rnacentral:lncRNA from 1 species